rnacentral:rRNA from 1 species
AAAGGAGACUUCGGUCUCUGAGUACAGUGGCGCACGGGUGCGUAACACGUAAGUAAUCUACCCCCGAACUCUGGGAUAACCCUCCGAAAGGAGGGCUAAUACUGGAUAGGGUCCCCGAGGUGUAGGCCGCGGGGGGAAAACGGGCCUCUGUUUCAUGCUCGUGGUUUGGGGUGAGCUUGCGGCCCAUUAGCUGGUUGGUAGGGUAACGGCCUACCAAGGCAACGAUGGGUAGCUGGUCUGAGAGGAUGAUCAGCCACACUGGCACUGAGACACGGGCCAGACUCCUACGGGAGGCAGCAGUGGGGAAUUUUGCGCAAUGGGCGAAAGCCUGACGCAGUAACGCCGCGUGGAGGAUGAAGGCCUUCGGGUUGUAAACUCCUGUCAGGAGGAACGACGGGGAAAGGGUGAUAAAUCCUUUCCUCCAGACGGUACCUCCAAAGGAAGCCCCGGCUAAUUCCGUGCCAGCAGCCGCGGUAAUACGGAAGGGGCGAGCGUUGUUCGGAAUCAUUGGGCGUAAAGGGCGCGUAGGUGGUUCUGUAUGUCUACCGUGAAAGCGUACGGCUCAACCGUAUUUUGUCGGUAGAAACUGCAGGACUUGAGGCUGGGAGGGGCUGGUGGAAUUCCCUGUGUAGCGGUGAAAUGCGUAGAGAUGGGGGAGAACACUCGUGGCGAAGGCGGCCAGCUAGACCAGUUCUGACACUGAGGCGCGACAGCGUGGGGAGCAAACAGGAUUAGAUACCCUGGUAGUCCACGCUGUAAACGAUGGGCACUAGGUGCCGGCGGUCUUGAUCCCGUCGGUGCCGGCGCUAACGCAGUAAGUG